rnacentral:misc_RNA from 1 species
CCGAGUGAGGGUCCUUUGAGGGCCCAACCUCCCACCCGUGUUUACUUAUACCAUGUUGCUUCGGUGGGCCCACUGGGGCGUUGUCCCUGGUCGCCGGGGGGGAAGAACCCCCCGGGCCCGUGCCCACCGGAGACCCCACAAACUCUGUCUGAAUUGGUUUGUCUGAGUGAUUAAAGAUAAUUGUUA